rnacentral:rRNA from 1 species
CCUACGGGAGGCAGCAGUGGGGAAUAUUGCACAAUGGGCGCAAGCCUGAUGCAGCGACGCCGCGUGAGGGAUGACGGCCUUCGGGUUGUAAACCUCUUUCAGUAGGGAAGAAGCGAAAGUGACGGUACCUGCAGAAGAAGCGCCGGCUAACUACGUGCCAGCAGCCGCGGUAAUACGUAGGGCGCAAGCGUUAUCCGGAAUUAUUGGGCGUAAAGAGUUCGUAGGCGGUUUGUCGCGUCUGCCGUGAAAGUCCGGGGCUCAACUCCGGAUCUGCGGUGGGUACGGGCAGACUAGAGUGAUGUAGGGGAGACUGGAAUUCCUGGUGUAGCGGUGAAAUGCGCAGAUAUCAGGAGGAACACCGAUGGCGAAGGCAGGUCUCUGGGCAUUAACUGACGCUGAGGAGCGAAAGCAUGGGGAGCGAACAGGAUUAGAUACCCUGGUAGUCCAUGCCGUAAACGUUGGGCACUAGGUGUGGGGGACAUUCCACGUUUUCCGCGCCGUAGCUAACGCAUUAAGUGCCCCGCCUGGGGAGGUACGGCCGCGAGGACGUAAACGUUAAAGUAAGUAGUUAGACGUGUUAGAGUAGCGACGACGCGACGAGGAGGAGGAG